AUGUUAUAAAGAAAGGACGAGGGAUUAGACCCGAUGAAUCCUUAGCAACCCUUCGGUAAAGCGAAGAAGGUGCUGCAUUCUACCACGCCAAACGUGGAAAGAUAACAA
rfam:Flavobacterium sp. CF136 PMI10_contig19.19, whole genome shotgun sequence.